UACGUAGGGGGCAAGCGUUGUCCGGAUUUAUUGGGCGUAAAGAGCGUGUAGGCGGCCUGAAAGGUCAGCUGUGAAAACUCGAGGCUCAACCUCGAGACGUCGGUUGAAACCAUCUGGCUAGAGUCCGGAAGAGGAGUGUGGAAUUCCCGGUGUAGCGGUGAAAUGCGCAGAUAUCGGGAAGAACACCAGUGGCGAAGGCGGCACUCUGGGACGGUACUGACGCUGAGACGCGAAAGCGCGGGGAGCGAACAGG
rnacentral:rRNA from 1 species